rnacentral:tRNA from 1 species
GGAUGGCUAGGUCAAAUUGCUCCGAAGGCAAAGGUCGUACGUUCGAAUCGUAUCGGGUCCGCCA